AAAGAGACAACGCAAUUACGAACGCUCUGCUCCCACCCCCUCCCCCACGGAGUUCAAGUUCUUCAGUGAAGUGUACUGCGAGAAUGGCCGAAAGUUCUAGGAAGAGACCUCCAUCGCCUCCAGCUAAAAAAAACUCGAUCUGAGGCGAAAAGAAUAUCAGAUGGGAAGCAAGCAAAUACACGUUAAUCUAGGGAGUGCUUUCCACCGAUGGAGACAACUUGGAUAGCAAGGAGAUGCAGUUCGAUUCUGAACUUGCGACAUUUCUUCUUGACUGGAUCAGAAUUCCAGUUCAGUCCUCCCCUAUGAAGGUGUAACGAUUACAUUGCUGUUGCCCAACAGAUUGGUGUGUCAACAGGUUGAAUUUCCUGCUGCAGAUCACCUCUUCAUUUCCUGUGGCUCAUCAACAUGAAGCCUGACUCGUUAGCCCAACUUCUUGCUGUUGAAGACUGCUAAGGACUAUCCAUGUGCCCAGCUGCUUCCCUCCUGCCUCAUAUAGUCCAAAAGUUACAUUUCUAUUCAUGUUGUUGCACUUGGUAGAUGUAAAGUUUAUUCCUGUCUUGUAGUUUUAUAAUACCAAGAAUCAGGAUUGGUGAAACAUUGGUUGUGCCUGAAAGUGUUCUUUAGAUCAAGAUUGGUAUACUAACAUCAUGCUUUUAUCUCCUGUUCCUGACUUCUUAGAAUCUAUUUGUUGUUAAAGAGUUGUUUAAACUAAUGUAAUUUCAAGUGGUAGCUUUGGCUCUUGACAUUUGUGCCCAUAGUUUUAAAUAUGAACUCAUAGCCUAAAGGUGCAAAGGAAAAGAUGAACAUACCAUUUUAGUCAUAAUUCAGGUAUUCUUUAUGUUACAUGAAAUGUAGCCACUGUGCUCUUAGAAUGGGAAGUUUUAUUGUUAGUUGUAGAGGAUGAUUGUGUAAGGAAUAACGUUCUGUAAGGCGGUCAUUAUGGCGCUGGCCGUGGCCUGCCGAGUUUCACUUUCCUUGACAUUCUCUGGUUAUACUUAGCAACGGUCCGGUAUUAAAAAUUAUCAGACCGUAGGACGUUGGGAAGUCCCAUCGGAGUGAAUGGAGCAUUCUACAGCAUUAUAAAGAGCCGUGUAAUAAAUGGUAAUAAUAAUGACCUCUAAUAGUAAACAGAACGAUUGGCUAUAACCACUGACUACAUGGAGCAUUUUAGUUACUGGCUACGUAGCAAGAACACCUGUGUUGCUGCCAGACUCUCACGGUGACUGUUCUCCAAACGCCUCUGCUGGUCAGCGCGCUCUCUGGCUGCUCUGACAGCCCGAGCCGUCCCUGUACUGUUCUCUCCAGGUCUGGGACUGACACUAGACACCCAGGCCUUUUCUUCUUUGCCUGGCCCU